CCUACGGGGGGCAGCAGUCGAGAAUUAUUCACAAUGGGGGAAACCCUGAUGGUGCGACGCCGCGUGGGGGAAUGAAGGUCUUCGGAUUGUAAACCCCUGUCAUGUGGGAGCAAAUUAAAAAGAUAGUACCACAAGAGGAAGAGACGGCUAACUCUGUGCCAGCAGCCGCGGUAAUACAGAGGUCUCAAGCGUUGUUCGGAAUCACUGGGCGUAAAGCGUGCGUAGGCUGUUUCGUAAGUCGUGUGUGAAAGGCGCGGGCUCAACCCGCGGACGGCACAUGAUACUGCGAGACUAGAGUAAGGGAGGGGGAACCGGAAUUCUCGGUGUAGCAGUGAAAUGCGUAGAUAUCGAGAGGAACACUCGUGGCGAAGGCGGGUUCCUGGACAUUAACUGACGCUGAGGCACGAAGGCCAGGGGAGCGAAAGGGAUUAGAUACCCGAGUAGUC
rnacentral:rRNA from 1 species